UACGAAGGGUGCAAACGUUGCUCGGAAUUAUUGGGCGUAAAGCGCACGUAGGCGGCUUGGCAAGUCGGAUGUGAAAUCCCUCGGCUCAACCAAGGAAGUGCAUCCGAAACUGCUGAGCUUGAGUACUUAAGAGGAUCGCGGAAUUCCCGGUGUAGAGGUGAAAUUCGUAGAUAUCCGGAGGAACACCGGUGGCGAAGGCGGCUUCCUGGACCGACACUGACGCUGAGGCGCGAAAGCUAGGGGAGCAAACGGG
rnacentral:rRNA from 1 species